rnacentral:rRNA from 1 species
GAAGGGGGCUAGCGUUGUUCGGAUUUACUGGGCGUAAAGCGCGUGUAGGCGGGUCGUUAAGUUGGGGGUGAAAUCCCGAGGCUCAACCUCGGAACUGCCUUCAAAACUGGCGACCUGGACUCAAGUAGAGGCAAGUGGAAUUGCGAGUGUAGAGGUGAAAUUCGUAGAUAUUCGCAGGAACACCAGUGGCGAAGGCGACUUGCUGGACUUGUAGUGACGCUGAGACGCGAAAGCGUGGGGAGCAAAC